CAACCCAUAGGUUUUGAAGCCUCUAACUAUUGAAAAACAAUGAAAAACCUGCGAAGUAGCGCUUUAGCCCUACCGUCUCCUAUAUUGUAUUUCACCCCAAUUCCCGUCGAACCCCUUUCUACCUUAUGGCUCGACCGCAACGAUGUGGUGAGUUUCUGAUCAGCAAACUGUCAGACGUUUUAUUUUGAUUUUGUUUGUUGACAUUCGGCCGUCUCGAUCUUGAUCAGUUUGUUCGUUGAAAUUCUGCAAAAGUUUGCAACAAAAUUUUCACGAAAGUGGUACAUCUACCACCAGACAAAAACCCGAAAAUACGUGCAGAUGUCUGCCGAAAUUAGUGCCGGCUAUAAAGCUAAAACUGGUUCCGCGGGUUUUGGAUAAAUAAUCGAUUCGUUCGGACCACAGCAUUCAGCAUUCGAUUCGGACAAAAGCACGUGCCAAACACACCGGCAACCGUCUCCCACUGCUUCAAUGUGCUGAAUCGAUAGGAAGGUCCUAUGGCUAGGGAGAACGUGCUACAUCCUUUACUUCAUACCCAUUCAAGCAAACAAUAUAACGACAAACCAGCUCAACAUCCUGAUAGACACCAUUUUUUGGAGCAAACUAGAGUAUCCCUGAAGCGCCGCAAUCCGCAAGAAAAAAAAAAACCAAACCGGACAAACUGCGCGGCUGGUAUUUUGUAUACAACAGUUGUAUUACAACUUGUUCGAAAACAACACGGUUGAGAAGAAGCCCAGCCUGGAAGUGGUUCUGUCAGCUUCAUCGAGGGAAUCGGUUCCUAGCGGGACGCUAUCUCACUCAAACCACACGCUACCACACGCAUUUAGGCGCACAAUGCAGCAGCUAACGAACUAAGAGAAGCCGAACAUGACGUGCUAAUUCCGCAGAGCAAACCUUUGAGUCUUGGAGAAAUCCUCGACUGUAUAGCUCCCCGGAUACCGGAUAAACGGAUACUGAUCUACCUGGGCGACGGACGGAUUCACCUGGAAGCGACAAUGAUCUCCAAUCCAUCGCUGAAAGUUUACAAGUACGAUCCCUACGAGAAGCACUCGGGAGCACUACGACCAAGCGGAAAUCCGAAACACAACCGGCCAUCGAUGCCAGCAGAGGGGUGUACAAGUUCGGGCUUAUUUUGGAGACACUGGGCCGAAAGGGGUUCACCAAGGUGAUGGGCCAUUUGCAGAAAAGAUUGAAGCCACACAAUCAGCAGGCGGUCAUCACCGUAGGAAAUAUUCCAGGCAAAGCUCGUGCUCUUCAAGGACGUGGAUAUGUUUGUGCAGGUGGCAUGUCCGCGACUCUCCAUCAACUGGGCACUGCAUUCCCGAAACUACUUCUCAAACCGUACUGUCGGUGGCGCUGGGUGAUGCAGAGCGGAAACUGCACUUCAGUCCAUGCUGCUGCUGAUUGAACAUGAUUACUUCUGUCUUCCAAAUCGAGCAUCAUCCAGGAUUUCAUUCUCGUCACCGUCAGUCUUGGACGAGCAUCAAAGGCUUUUGAUUUAAUACAUUAUAUUUUUCUAUAGUAAUUAAAUAGUACCGUAGGGUAGGGGUGCUCUUUUGUUUGGGCAAAACAUAUCCGAAAUUUCGACAAGGCUCUGAACAAGAUUAGAUA